rnacentral:lncRNA from 1 species
CUCUCCUGCAUUGCCUUCUUCUCUGCUUCCUCACAAGCUUAUGAGUACCCUCCCAUCGUGAGUGGCCUCUCCUUCGACUUCUACAAGUCCACCUGCCCCAACGUGGAGCCCCUCGUCAGGAACUACCUGGCGCAGCUCUUCAAGAAGGACAUUGGCCUCGCCGCUGCCCUCCUCCGCGUUCACUUCCAUGACUGUUUCGUCCAGGUAGGCAUCUUUAGCUGUGAACGAUGCUAUCAUAGAGCUGUACUGUGAGAUCACGCGCGCGUGUGUGUGUGUGGGGUUCGUGUUUGCAGGGCUGCGAUGGUUCGAUUCUGUUGGAUGGGUCGGCAGGCGGACCGAGCGAGAAGAACGCGCCGCCCAACUUGACGCUUCGGCCGGCCGCCUUCAAGGCCAUCAACGACCUCCGGACACUCAUCUCCAAGGCUUGCGGACAGGUCGUCUCUUGCUCCGACAUCUCCGCCCUGGCCGCCCGCGACUCGGUCUUCUUGGUAUCCAUCGACUCCCCCUCCGACUCAUCUUUCUCUCUCUAAAGCUGUCGGCGAUGCCAGUCCUGAUCCUCCUCUGAUCUUUAUCUUCUUCUAGUCCGGCGGCCCCGACUACAGGGUUCCACUGGGCCGGCGAGAUGGCCUGAGCUUCGCGACCCGGGAUGCCGUCCUCAGCUUCCUCCCCUCGCCUACAUCCGACGUCACCACCCUCAUCAACGCCCUCGCCAAGCUCAAACUCGACACCACCGACCUCGUCACCCUCUCCGGCGGCCACACCAUCGGUAUCGGCCACUGCACCUCCUUCCAGAACCGGCUCUUCCCCUCCCAGGACUCCACCCUGGAGCCGACCUUCGCCAAGAACCUCUACCGGACCUGCCCGGUCAAAGACACAACCAACACCACCGUCAACGACAUCCGGACGCCCAAUACCUUCGACAACAAGUACUACGUCGAUCUCGUAAGCAAGCAGGGCCUCUUCACCUCCGACCAGGGCCUGUUCGGCGACUCCAGGACCAAGCCCCUCGUCACCAGCUUUGCCGCCAACCAGCCCUUGUUCUUCGGCAAGUUUGUGUACUCCAUGACCAAGAUGGGCCAGCUGAGCGUGUUGACUGGCAAGCAAGGUGAGAUCAGGAAGAACUGCUCGGCGCUCAACUCGGGCAAGAAGGUCUUGUGGUCUGUGGUCGAUGGUGAGGGUGAUGGCAGCGAGGUGUUCUGAAGCAAACGUUGUAUGCAGCUUGCACAAUAAAUGGUCGAUAGAUUGGGACAUGGAUGUGUUUCCAAGACAUCAUCACUCUCCUAUCUCCCGUCUUCAACCUUUUGUAUCUUAUAUGUUUCGGGUGCUUCAAUUACCAUAAUUUACGAGUAAGACACUGUUUUCAUGAUUUGAAUCGUAGUAUUGGAAAUCAAAAAGGAACGAUCAUAUCAUAAUUAAAUAUUUACGAAUGACAGAA